CGCGGGAUAGAGCAGCAUGGUAGCUCGACGGGCUCAUAACCCGUAGGUCGAUGGUUCAAAUCCAUCUCCCGCAACCA
rnacentral:tRNA from 1 species